GCGCGAUUAGCUCAGCGGGAGAGCACUACCUUGACACGGUAGGGGUCACUGGUUCAAUCCCAGUAUCGCGCA
rfam:Streptomyces aureofaciens strain ATCC 10762 contig_11, whole genome shotgun sequence.